GUGGCAUAUGUACUAAUCAUAGUUUAAUUGGUCUCUCCUGGUCUGUGUUGGUACAGGUGUGAUGCAAAUAAAACAUAUAUGUGCAAUGGAAGUGAUUGGAAUUAUGGUCAACUGACAGGAGCCAUCAACCUUUCAGUGCUCGAAUAGCUGGUUUAUUGGAUAAGACAGGACAAUUACCACAACUGGCCUGUCAAGAUGGUUAGAGCUCCCUACAGGCAUUGAGGCAGGUGUUUGUGCCUUCAGUUUAAUCUCUUCCUUUCUGGUUCCAGGCUGGAUGCAGCUCUUGGCGCCAGCAGAAGUGUUUAUACAGAAAUGAGGGUCACCUGGAUGCCCAGCCCAGUGGAUCUGUGUGCUCAUUGCCAAACAAGGCAUGAGCUCCCUGUAAUGCAAGCUCGAUUUCUCUGGGGUAAAGGAGCCGGUGCCAAAGGUGGACAUGGAAGAAGGAGACAGUGGGGAUCUGCACAUGAAUGAAGAGACCUGAAUGUGGAGUAUUAGAGAAUUUAUUAAAGGAUUGGACAGUUUUCCUUUAUGGCCUUUGUGAAGCCUCGGAGUUACUAACUGCCAGUGCAAUAUGGUAUCACAAAGAUAACAGCCAUUACUAGAAGUUCAGUUUUCUAUUCCUACCUUGGAAAGCAGCAGCUUAACAAACCCAAGUGGUCAACGUUUAUGGUACUCCUGUCUUUCUUCUAGGACCCUUUGAAAUAUAUGUCUUUUGAAUUUAGUUUUGCUGGAAAAAUCUGCAUCCAAUUUGAAUGAAAUUGAAUAUGUUUCAGGGCUCAAGCAGCAUGCCUUCCAUCUGAAGCAAAAUGGAGAUGAAUUUCAAUUAGAUGUUCCCAUUAUAAUCUGUCUCCACCUGUAGUUUUCCAUAAAAAUUGCUAGGAAGUGUGGUAUAAUGUAUGAUCAGGAUUUGCCCACUGGCAGCAGUGUCCCAUUAUCUUAGCAAAAAGCACAAAAUAAUUAGUCUGAUGCAUAUAGAUAGCAGCUUCUUACAGCGAGUGACUUUAAUUGUGGUGAGUAAUAUAUACGGAGUUUGAAGUAUUAUAUAUUUCCCUCCCAAGAAGAUACCAAUUACUAAUUCAGUUGACAAAGUAACAAUAUUUCAGAAGAUUUAAUGCAAACUGAACAUUGUAGUCAAUAGCCACUGUAAAAUGUCCAUUUUAUGGUCUUAUUUUUGCCUGAGCUUAAUUUAUGGUAAUUUGGUAGUUGCAUAUAGCCUGGAAGUAUGCUGUUGGCUUGAAUUAGUACUUGGGUAUUGCAUAAAUCAUACUGAAUGUGUUGGCAUCAUCUAAUGCCCUUCUUUCUCCUACAUUUGGAAUCCUUCUUAUCUUGUCAUUUCUCUCUCCUCAAUCCUACCUGUAAAUUCAUGGGGCUCUAAGAGCUCAGUAUUUAGGAGAUCACUUCCUCAUAGAGUAGCAUCUUCCAAAUGCCAGAUAGAGUUCUGUGCUUCAGACGGAGGGAAUUUAGCAAAAAUUUUUUUUGUGGGAUAGAGUAUUUGUAUUAUCCCACCUUAAGUGCUUUAAAGGAAAAUACAAUUCCCUCUCCCUGUCCUAUUUGCCUCUAAAAUCCAUGCUAAUAUAAAAGGCAAGGUUUAAAAGUAUUAUAUUAUUUGAACUAAUUUUUCCAGUGCUGGUUUAUAUUAGUUUUUUCAAUUUUGUUUUUUAAUCUGAAACAUAGGACAAAUAUGCCAGCAUGCUCUAAGCUCACAGGUAAUCUACCUGGGGACCUAAAUAAUAUGAAUCAUCCAACUGUAUGGUAAGAUUUAGUUUAGGUGACUGGGCUUCAAAGAAAUACAUUGGAUGUUUCAGAACUAA